GCCAUGCAUGUCUAAGUAUAAGCAACUAUACUGUGAAACUGCGAAUGGCUCAUUAAAUCAGUUAUCGUUUAUUUGAUAGUACCUUUACCUGGAUAACCGUGGUAAUUCUAGAGCUAAUACAUGCUAAAAACCUCGACUUCGGAAGGGGUGUAUUUAUUAGAUAAAAAACCAAUGCCCUUCGGGGCUCCUUGGUGAAUCAUAAUAACUUAACGAAUCGCAUGGCCUUGCGCCGGCGAUGGUUCAUUCAAAUUUCUGCCCUAUCAACUUUCGAUGGUAAGAUAGAGGCUUACCAUGGUCUUAACGGGUAACGGGGAAUUAGGGUUCUAUUCCGGAGAGGGAGCCUGAGAAACGGCUACCACAUCCAAGGAAGGCAGCAGGCGCGCAAAUUACCCAAUCCCGACACGGGGAGGUAGUGACAAUAAAUACUGAUACGGGGCUCUUUUGGGUCUCGUAAUUGGAAUGAGUACAAUCUAAAUCCCUUAACGAGGAACAAUUGGAGGGCAAGUCUGGUGCCAGCAGCCGCGGUAAUUCCAGCUCCAAUAGCGUAUAUUAAAGUUGUUGCCGUUAAAAAGCUCGUAGUUGAACCUUGGGCCUGGCUGACCUGUCCUCCUAAUCGAGCGCACGGGUUCGGUCGGGCCUUUCCUUCUAGGGAACCCCAUGCCCUUCACUGGGUGUGGUGGGGAACUAGGACUUUUACC
rnacentral:rRNA from 6 species